rnacentral:tRNA from 1 species
UCCCCUGUGGCUCAGAUGGUAAAGCAUCUGCCUGCAAUGCAGGAGACCUGGGUUUGAUCCCUGCAUUGGGA